rnacentral:snRNA from 1 species
GGAUGUGAGGGCGAUCUGGCUGCGAUAUCUGUCACCCCAUUGAUCGCCAGGGUUGAUUCGGCUGAUCUGGCUGGCUAGGCGGGUGUCCCCCUCCUCCCUCACCGAUCCAUGUUUGUCCCUCCCGAAGCUGCGCGCUCGGGUCGACGAGGACGACCUUCCCCCCCAGGAAAGGACCGGUCUUCGGUCAAGGGUAUACGAUUAGCUGCGCUCCCCUGCUAGAACCUCCAAACAAGCUCUCAAAGUGUCAUAUAUACAUAGUGUGCCUCACUGUUUUCAGAAUUUUUCAUGCUUAUGCAAUUCCCCAU